rnacentral:rRNA from 1 species
UGGAUUAAGAGCUUGCUCUUAUGAAGUUAGCGGCGGACGGGUGAGUAACACGUGGGUAACCUGCCCAUAAGACUGGGAUAACUCCGGGAAACCGGGGCUAAUACCGGAUAACAUUUUGAACCGCAUGGUUCGAAAUUGAAAGGCGGCUUCGGCUGUCACUUAUGGAUGGACCCGCGUCGCAUUAGCUAGUUGGUGAGGUAACGGCUCACCAAGGCAACGAUGCGUAGCCGACCUGAGAGGGUGAUCGGCCACACUGGGACUGAGACACGGCCCAGACUCCUACGGGAGGCAGCAGUAGGGAAUCUUCCGCAAUGGACGAAAGUCUGACGGAGCAACGCCGCGUGAGUGAUGAAGGCUUUCGGGUCGUAAAACUCUGUUGUUAGGGAAGAACAAGUGCUAGUUGAAUAAGCUGGCACCUUGACGGUACCUAACCAGAAAGCCACGGCUAACUACGUGCCAGCAGCCGCGGUAAUACGUAGGUGGCAAGCGUUAUCCGGAAUUAUUGGGCGUAAAGCGCGCGCAGGUGGUUUCUUAAGUCUGAUGUGAAAGCCCACGGCUCAACCGUGGAGGGUCAUUGGAAACUGGGAGACUUGAGUGCAGAAGAGGAAAGUGGAAUUCCAUGUGUAGCGGUGAAAUGCGUAGAGAUAUGGAGGAACACCAGUGGCGAAGGCGACUUUCUGGUCUGUAACUGACACUGAGGCGCGAAAGCGUGGGGAGCAAACAGGAUUAGAUACCCUGGUAGUCCACGCCGUAAACGAUGAGAUGGCUAAUUUUGGGGGUUUUCCCCCUUUAAUGCUGGAGGUUACGGCUUUAACGAUUCCGCCCUGGGGAGUCGGCCGGCAGGGUGAAAAUCCAAGGAAAUGACGGGGGGCCGCCCCAACCGUUGAGCAUGGUGUUUUAUUUGGAGCCACGCCGAGGACCCUUCCCGGUCCUUGCCUUCUUUUACCACCCUAGAGGUUGGGCCUUUUCCUUGGGAGCCGAAUUACCGGUUGUUGCAGGGUGUUGUCCGCCCCUGGUCUUAGAUGGUUGGGUUAAUUCCGCCACGAGGCCCAACCCUGGUUUUAGUUUCCCUCCAUAAAGUUGGCCCUUUAAGGGGGCCGCCGGUUGCCAACCCGAGGGAGGGGGGGGAGGCGGCCAAACCUCAAUCCCCCUUAGACCUUGGCCACCCCCCUUCUUCAAUUGGCGGGUCCAAAGGCCGCCAGGCCCCGAGGGGGGGCUAAUUUCAUAAAACCGUUUUCAGUUCCGGUUUUAGGCUGCCAAUUGGCUUCCAGGAACCUGGAUUCCUAGGUAUUCCGGGUCCACCAUCCCCGGUGAAAACGUUUCCCGGCCUUUUUCCCCCCCUUUUAAUUGGCCCCAAGGGUUGUUACAACCGGAGAAAAGGGUAUCUUUUUUACCUGUGAUAAGAGUAAUCAAACGUCGUUAAAGGG